UAGGGAAUCUUCCACAAUGGGCGAAAGCCUGAUGGAGCAACGCCGCGUGUGUGAUGAAGGGUUUCGGCUCGUAAAACAUUGUUGUAAGAGAAGAAUGACAUUGAGAGUAACUGUUCAAUGUGUGACGGUAUCUUACCAGAAAGGAACGGCUAAAUACGUGCCAG
rnacentral:rRNA from 1 species